CCUACGGGUGGCAGCAGUGAGGAAUAUUGGUCAAUGGGCGGAAGCCUGAACCAGCCAAGUAGCGUGCAGGAUGACGGCCCUACGGGUUGUAAACUGCUUUUAUACGGGAAUAACGCGCCUUACGUGUAGGGCUUUGCAUGUACCGUAUGAAUAAGGACCGGCUAAUUCCGUGCCAGCAGCCGCGGUAAUACGGAAGGUCCGGGCGUUAUCCGGAUUUAUUGGGUUUAAAGGGAGCGUAGGCCGCAUGUCAAGCGUGCGGGGAAAUGGCCGGGCUCAACCCGGGCCGUGCAGGGCGAACUGGCGGGCUUGAGUGCGCGGAAAGUAGGCGGAAUGCGUGGUGUAGCGGUGAAAUGCUUAGAUAUGACGAAGAACACCGAUUGCGAAGGCAGCUUGCUGCAGCGGAACUGACGCUGAGGCUCGAAAGCGCGGGUAUCGAACAGGAUUAGAUACCCCGGUAGUC
rnacentral:rRNA from 1 species